GAUGAACGCUGGCGGCGUGCUUAACACAUGCAAGUCGAACGGAAAGGCCCAAGCUUGCUUGGGUACUCGAGUGGCGAACGGGUGAGUAACACGUGGGUGAUCUGCCCUGCACUUCGGGAUAAGCCUGGGAAACUGGGUCUAAUACCGGAUAGGACCACAUUUUGGAUGGUGUGGUGGAAAGAUUUUCGGUGUGGGAUGAGCUCGCGGCCUAUCAGCUUGUUGGUGGGGUAAUGGCCUACCAAGGCGUCGACGGGUAGCCGGCCUGAGAGGGUGUACGGCCACAUUGGGACUGAGAUACGGCCCAGACUCCUACGGGAGGCAGCAGUGGGGAAUAUUGCACAAUGGGCGCAAGCCUGAUGCAGCGACGCCGCGUGGGGGAUGACGGCCUUCGGGUUGUAAACUGCUUUCGCUAGGGACGAAGCGCGAGUGACGGUACCUGGAGAAGAAGCACCGGCUAACUACGUG
rnacentral:rRNA from 1 species